AUGGUAGUGGUAGGAGAUGGCAGUGGUAGAAGAUGGCAGUAUUAGGAAGUGAUUCUACUACUGCCAUCUCUUACCACUGCCAU
rnacentral:pre_miRNA from 1 species